UACGGGGGGGGCAAGCGUUGUUCGGAAUUACUGGGCGUAAAGGGCUCGUAGGCGGCCAACUAAGUCCGACGUGAAAUCCCCAGGCUUAACCUGGGAACUGCGUCGGAUACUGGAUGGCUUGAAUUCGGGAGAGGGAUGCAGAAUUCCAGGUGUAGCGGUGAAAUGCGUAGAUAUCUGGAGGAAUACCGGUGGCGAAGGCGGCAUCCUGGACCGAAACUGACGCUGAGGCGCGAAAGCUAGGGGAGCAAACAGG
rnacentral:rRNA from 1 species